rnacentral:rRNA from 1 species
GACGAACGCUGGCGGCGUGCUUAACACAUGCAAGUCGAACGGAAAGGCCCUGCUUUUGUGGGGUGCUCGAGUGGCGAACGGGUGAGUAACACGUGAGUAACCUGCCCUUGACUUUGGGAUAACUUCAGGAAACUGGGGCUAAUACCGGAUAGGAGCUCCUGCUGCAUGGUGGGGGUUGGAAAGUUUCGGCGGUUGGGGAUGGACUCGCGGCUUAUCAGCUUGUUGGUGGGGUAGUGGCUUACCAAGGCUUUGACGGGUAGCCGGCCUGAGAGGGUGACCGGCGACAUUGGGACUGAGAGACGGCGCAGACUCCUACGGGAGGCAGCAGUGGGGAAUAUUGCACAAUGGGCGGAAGCCUGAUGCAGCAACGCCGCGUGCGGGGUGACGGCCUUCGGGUUGUAAACCGCUUUCGCCUGUGACGAAGCGUGAGUGACGGUAAUGGGUAAAGAAGCACCGGCUAACUACGUG